rnacentral:rRNA from 1 species
AACGAACGCUGGCGGCAGGCUUAACACAUGCAAGUCGAACGGGCACCUUCGGGUGUCAGUGGCAGACGGGUGAGUAACGCGUGGGAACGUACCCUUCGGUUCGGAAUAACCCAGGGAAACUUGGGCUAACACCGGAUACGUCCGCAAGGAGAAAGAUUUAUCGCCGAAGGAUCGGCCCGCGUCGGAUUAGCUAGUUGGUGGGGUAAUGGCCCACCAAGGCGACGAUCCGUAGCUGGUCUGAGAGGAUGANCAGCCACACUGGGACUGAGACACGGCCCAGACUCCUACGGGAGGCAGCAGUGGGGAAUAUUGGACAAUGGGCGAAAGCCUGAUCCAGCCAUGCCGCGUGAGUGAAGAAGGCCUUAGGGUUGUAAAGCUCUUUCAGCGGGGAAGAUAAUGACGGUACCCGCAGAAGAAGUCCCGGCUAACUUCGUGCCAGCCGCCGCA